rnacentral:rRNA from 1 species
GGGCCUUGCGCUAAUAGAUGAGCCUAAGUCGGAUUAGCUAGUUGGUAGGGUAAAGGCCUACCAAGGCGACGAUCUGUAGCGGGUCUGAGAGGAUGAUCCGCCACACUGGGACUGAGACACGGCCCAGACUCCUACGGGAGGCAGCAGUGGGGAAUAUUGGACAAUGGGGGGAACCCUGAUCCAGCCAUGCCGCGUGUGUGAAGAAGGCCUUUUGGUUGUAAAGCACUUUAAGCGAGGAGGAGGCUACCUAGAUAAAUACUUUAGGAUAGUGGACGUUACUCGCAGAAUAAGCACCGGCUAACUCUGUGCCAGCAGCCGCGGUAAUACAGAGGGUGCGAGCGUUAAUCGGAUUUACUGGGCGUAAAGCGUGCGUAGGCGGCCAAUUAAGUCAAAUGUGAAAUCCCCGAGCUUAACUUGGGAAUUGCAUUCGAUACUGGUUGGCUAGAGUAUGGGAGAGGAUGGUAGAAUUCCAGGUGUAGCGGUGAAAUGCGUAGAGAUCUGGAGGAAUACCGAUGGCGAAGGCAGCCAUCUGGCCUAAUACUGACGCUGAGGUACGAAAGCAUGGGGAGCAGACAGGAUUAGAUACCCUGGUAGUCCAUGCCGUAAACGAUGUCUACUAGCCGUUGGGGCCCUUGAGGCUUUAGUGGCGCAGCUAACGCGAUAAGUAGACCGCCUGGGGAGUACGGUCGCAAGACUAAAACUCAAAUGAAUUGACGGGGGCCCGCACAAGCGGUGGAGCAUGUGGUUUAAUUCGAUGCAACGCGAAGAACCUUACCUGGCCUUGACAUACAGAGAACUUUCCAGAGAUGGAUUGGUGCCUUCGGGAACUCUGAUACAGGUGCUGCAUGGCUGUC